GCAGUCGAGCGGUAGCACAGAGAGCUUGCUCUCGGGUGACGAGCGGCGGACGGGUGAGUAAUGUCUGGGAAACUGCCUGAUGGAGGGGGAUAACUACUGGAAACGGUAGCUAAUACCGCAUAACGUCGCAAGACCAAAGUGGGGGACCUUCGGGCCUCAUGCCAUCAGAUGUGCCCAGAUGGGAUUAGCUAGUAGGUGGGGUAACGGCUCACCUAGGCGACGAUCCCUAGCUGGUCUGAGAGGAUGACCAGCCACACUGGAACUGAGACACGGUCCAGACUCCUACGGGAGGCAGCAGUGGGGAAUAUUGCACAAUGGGCGCAAGCCUGAUGCAGCCAUGCCGCGUGUGUGAAGAAGGCCUUCGGGUUGUAAAGCACUUUCAGCGGGGAGGAAGGCGGUGAGGUUAAUAACCUCAUCGAUUGACGUUACCCGCAGAAGAAGCACCGGCUAACUCCGUGCCAGCAGCCGCGGUAAUACGGAGGGUGCAAGCGUUAAUCGGAAUUACUGGGCGUAAAGCGCACGCAGGCGGUCUGUCAAGUCGGAUGUGAAAUCCCCGGGCUCAACCUGGGAACUGCAUUCGAAACUGGCAGGCUAGAGUCUUGUAGAGGGGGGUAGAAUUCCAGGUGUAGCGGUGAAAUGCGUAGAGAUCUGGAGGAAUACCGGUGGCGAAGGCGGCCCCCUGGACAAAGACUGACGCUCAGGUGCGAAAGCGUGGGGAGCAAACAGGAUUAGAUACCCUGGUAGUCCACGCCGUAAACGAUGUCGAUUUGGAGGUUGUGCCCUUGAGGCGUGGCUUCCGGAGCUAACGCGUUAAAUCGACCGCCUGGGGAGUACGGCCGCAAGGUUAAAACUCAAAUGAAUUGACGGGGGCCCGCACAAGCGGUGGAGCAUGUGGUUUAAUUCGAUGCAACGCGAAGAACCUUACCUGGUCUUGACAUCCACAGAACUUUCCAGAGAUGGAUUGGUGCCUUCGGGAACUGUGAGACAGGUGCUGCAUGGCUGUCGUCAGCUCGUGUUGUGAAAUGUUGGGUUAAGUCCCGCAACGAGCGCAACCCUUAUCCUUUGUUGCCAGCGGUUAGGCCGGGAACUCAAAGGAGACUGCCAGUGAUAAACUGGAGGAAGGUGGGGAUGACGUCAAGUCAUCAUGGCCCUUACGACCAGGGCUACACACGUGCUACAAUGGCAUAUACAAAGAGAAGCGACCUCGCGAGAGCAAGCGGACCUCAUAAAGUAUGUCGUAGUCCGGAUUGGAGUCUGCAACUCGACUCCAUGAAGUCGGAAUCGCUAGUAAUCGUAGAUCAGAAUGCUACGGUGAAUACGUUCCCGGGCCUUGUACACACCGCCCGUCACACCAUGGGAGUGGGUUGCAAAAGAAGUAGGUAGC
rnacentral:rRNA from 1 species